rnacentral:lncRNA from 1 species
CAGAUGUGGAAUCACGAAGCAGGAGGGUUAGUUCUUUGGAGAAGGAAGAGGAUGAGGUGAGAGGAGCUUCCCAGAAGAGUUACUCAGGCCUGUCAGUGGAUUCUCUGGGCUCUGGUCCUAGUCUUUACCCCAUAUUCAACUGGAUGGCAAGAAGUAGUCUGCUCAGAAGUCUCACUGAGUACAUCUUCCUCAUCUCCUAAGAGCUUGGGUGAAGUGUCAGUGCCUAGGAUUUCAGUUUCACUAGGACUUUUGGAUGAGAGUCUGAUUCCAUCAGUAGGAGAUACCUACGAGAGACUUGCAUUUGAACUGAGUUGUUUAGAGAGAAAAGAAGGGUGUGGGGUAUUCAUCCGGCAGACUUGGAUCUUGUCAGCACCAGCAAGUUCUAGAAUCAACAUCUAUGGUGGCUGCUUCUCAUUAGGCAGAUGGAUUCCUAUGCUGGCAGCUUCCUGAGAUGGCAGAGAGUUGUUGUUCUGAAGGGGCAGCUGUGGUAGCAGCUCCUGAUUCUGCAGCUGCCUCUUGUGCGUGCAUCAGGUGCCUUAACUGUUUAAUUCUGG